rnacentral:misc_RNA from 1 species
AAAGUCGUAACAAGGUUUCCGUAGGUGAACCUGCGGAAGGAUCAUUAUUGAAUCCUUAGGAUGUUGCUGGCCUUUAGGGGCAUGUGCACUCCACCUUUCAAUCCACCUGUGAACUUAUUGUAGGCCAGAUGUUAAAGUCUGUGUCUAUGUUUUUAUACACCCUAUUAAAAAAGUCUUUGAAUGUUUAAUGAUAGACCUUUACUGGUCAAUAAUUAAUACAACUUUCAACAAUGGAUCUCUUGGUUCUC